AGUGGGUAGUCCGCACGAGCGCACCUCACUUUUAGUUGCCAUCAUUAAGUUGGGCACUCUGAAAGAACUGCCAGUGAUAAGCUGGAGGAAGGUGGGGAUGACGUCAAGUCCUCAUGGCCCUUACGUGUUGGGCUACACACGUGCUACAAUGGCAUCUACAACAGGAAGCAAAACGGCAACGUUAAGCAAACCCCGAAAAGAUGCCUCAGUUCGGAUUGCACUCUGCAACUCGAGUGCAUGAAGCUGGAAUUACUAGUAAUCGUGGAUCAGCGUGCCACGGUGAAUGCGUUCCCGGGUCUUGUACACACCGCCCGUCACACCAUGGGAGUUGGUUCUACCUUAAGGCAAGGUUUUAAACCCUUGACCACGGUAUAGUCAGCGACUGGGGUGAAGUCGUAACAAGGUAGCCGUAGGGGAACCUGCGGCUGGAUUACCUCCUUUCU
rnacentral:rRNA from 1 species